rnacentral:rRNA from 1 species
AGCGAACGCUGGCGGCAGGCCUAACACAUGCAAGUCGAACGAACCUUUCGGGGUUAGUGGCGUCCGGGUGAGUAACACGUGGGAACGUGCCUUUAGGUUCGGACUAACUCAGGGAAACUUGUGCUAAUACCGAAUGUGCCCUUCGGGGGAAAGAUUUAUCGCCCUUAGAGCGGCCCGCGUCUGAUUAGCUAGUUGGUUGAGGUAAUGGCUCACCAAGGCGACGAUCAGUAGCUGGUCUGAGAGGAUGAUCAGCCACAUUGGGACUGAGACACGGCCCAGACUCCUACGGGAGGCAGCAGUGGGGAAUCUUGCGCAAUGGGCGAAAGCAUGACGCAGCCAUGCCGCGUGAAUGAUGAAGGUCUUAGGAUUGUAAAAUUCUUUUACCGGGGACGAUAAUGACGGUACCCGGAGAAGAAGCCCCGGCUAACUUCGUG